rnacentral:rRNA from 1 species
GGUUGAUCCUGCCAGUAGUCAUAUGCUUGUCUUAAAGAUUAAGCCAUGCAUGUCUAAGUAUAAACAUUUAUACUGUGAAACUGCGAAUGGCUCAUUAAAUCAGUUAUAGUUUAUUUGAUAAUACCUUACUACUUGGAUAACCGUAGUAAUUCUAGAGCUAAUACAUGCUAAAGUUCCCGACUUCGCGGAAGGGAUGUAUUUAUUAGAUAAAAAACCAAUGCAGGGGGGCAACCCUCUGGUACCAUUGAUGAUUCAUAAUAACUUUGCGAAUCGCAUGACCUCGCGUCGGCGAU